CGAAUCCGCGCGGGAGAGUUCCGGCACGUCGCCGUGCCGGGCGCCGAAGGAGCAAGUUCCUCCCUUGAAUCUCUCAGGCCCCGAUACCGCACGGGCGAG
rnacentral:ncRNA from 2 species